GACCCAGUCGAGGCGGCAGAGGGGAGCCUCGCGGCGCCUCGCCUCGCCUGGGCGCCUCUCACACCUUUAAUAACACUACUUAGCACUAUGCUUCUAAAUUUCAAAUCUUAUCAAUCUAGUUUGAUUGUGGCAAAUUACUUGACUUAUCACAAGGAUCAUUAUGCAUCUACCUUUAAAGAUUGGAUUCAUUGUGACAUUCUAAACUUAUUAAAAAAUCUCUCUCUUCUACUUAUCAUUUUAUCUUUCUUGUUUUGUUCUUAAUUUGCAUCAAAACUCCAAAUGCUUUUUUACUUUGUCGCAAGUUAAAUCAAAAAAUACCAAAAGAGUUACCAUCUGACUAUAUUCAAUUCUUGUGUUUUGAGUGUUCUCACUUAUUUUUACUUAUUUCCUAUUUAUUUAAUAUUAGUUUUCUCCUUUCUUUUUCUUAAUUCAAAUUUCUUGUUUAUUUAAUUCAAUUGAGUUAUUACUUUCCUCGCCAAGGCACAUCAACACCGGAACAAAAUUAGAUGGAGUACAUAAACGGGAACCCAUAUCAACAUGUACUGAAAAAAAAAAAUAGAACAAACAGAUUCAUAUGAACAAACAAGCAUACCCAGUGUAGUAAUUCUUUGGUAGAUAUACAUCCUUCACAGGUCCAUAUUUCUCAAAAGGAACCCUAAGGUCUUCAGGCCUGGCGUCAAGAGGUAGAUUGCGAACAAGCAAGCCAGAUGGAGCAGGGGAGCGGCGUUCGCGGUAAGAACGGCUGUCGCGGUAGCGAUCACGGGGAUCUUCAUCUUCAUAGUAGUGCUUCCGGCCACGUGGUGGGGUUCUGCUGCUACGACGGGGACUGUAGCUCCUACUUCGGCUCCUGUACCUCGGCAUUGUAACAGAAUUCAGAAAAACCCUAACCUAGAGAGGGUUUCUUAGUAGGUUUCGAUAAUUAGAGAGAGAGAGAGAGAAAAUAAGAGGAACAGCAGUUUUUGUACAAGCAAAGCACACUAAAACUUGCUCUAACAGAUAUUGGCAUCAUUACAGAAGUAGAUGGAACAAGCAAAGAUGGACUUGAUUGAGCCAUUGUACAACCCAAAUAAAUCCAAGAAAGGCAAAGGAGCAUUAUGAUACGAUAAAAGAUUUGAAAUGCUAAGCAAGCACAGACCAAAGGUUAAACAUUAUUAUUAGUCCAAAGAGAGAACUGAAAUGAUUGUCAGCUAAUCUCUGCAGCUCUUGAUAAUGAACAUAUUAGAUAUCAACUCACUAAAUAAUAGUUGAAGUUACUCUUAGAUUCGAAUUCCCAACUGUAACUGCUACAUUAAAUAUUAAUAUAUCAUAAGCAAUACAAGACAGUUGCACACGGCUUAAAGCAUGAUGACAAGGGGAAGAAUCAGAAGGAGAUUAAAACUAGGCCUUGGUUUGAAUAUUUGGAAUUAGAGAGUUUAAGUUCAAAAUGUGAACUCA
rnacentral:misc_RNA from 1 species